UGGGGAAUAUUGCACAAUGGGCGAAAGCCUGAUGCAGCAACGCCGCGUGAGGGACGACGGCCUUCGGGUUGUAAACCUCUUUUAGCAAGGAAGAAGCGAAAGUGACGGUACUUGCAGAAAAAGCGCCGGCUAACUACGUGCCAGCAGCCGCGGUAAUACGUAGGGCGCAAGCGUUAUCCGGAAUUAUUGGGCGUAAAGAGCUCGUAGGCGGUUUGUCGCGUCUGCUGUGAAAACCCGAGGCUCAACCUCGGGCCUGCAGUGGGUACGGGCAGACUAGAGUGCGGUAGGGGAGAUUGGAACUCCUGGUGUAGCGGUGGAAUGCGCAGAUAUCAGGAAGAACACCGACGGCGAAGGCAGAUCUCUGGGCCGUAACUGACGCUGAGGAGCGAAAGGGUGGGGAGCAAACAGGCUUAGAUACCCUGGUAGUCCACCCCGUAAACGUUGGGAACUAGUUGUGGGGUCCAUUCCACGGAUUCCGUGACGCAGCUAACGCAUUAAGUUCCCCGCCUGGGGAGUACGGCCGCAAGGCUAAAACUCAAAGGAAUUGACGGGGUCAUAGCUGUUUCCU
rnacentral:rRNA from 1 species